GUGUGACUGCGUACCUUUUGUAUAAUGGGUCAGCGACUUAUAUUCUGUAGCAAGGUUAACCGAAUAGGGGAGCCGAAGGGAAACCGAGUCUUAACUGGGCGUUAAGUUGCAGGGUAUAGACCCGAAACCCGGUGAUCUAGCCAUGGGCAGGUUGAAGGUUGGGUAACACUAACUGGAGGACCGAACCGACUAAUGUUGAAAAAUUAGCGGAUGACUUGUGGCUGGGGGUGAAAGGCCAAUCAAACCGGGAGAUAGCUGGUUCUCCCCGAAAGCUAUUUAGGUAGCGCCUCGUGAAUUCAUCUCCGGGGGUAGAGCACUGUUUCGGCAAGGGGGUCAUCCCGACUUACCAACCCGAUGCAAACUGCGAAUACCGGAGAAUGUUAUCACGGGAGACACACGGCGGGUGCUAACGUCCGUCGUGAAGAGGGAAACAACCCAGACCGCCAGCUAAGGUCCCAAAGUCAUGGUUAAGUGGGAAACGAUGUGGGAAGGCCCAGACAGCCAGGAUGUUGGCUUAGAAGCAGCCAUCAUUUAAAGAAAGCGUAAUAGCUCACUGGUCGAGUCGGCCUGCGCGGAAGAUGUAACGGGGCUAAACCAUGCACCGAAGCUGCGGCAGCGACGCUUAUGCGUUGUUGGGUAGGGGAGCGUUCUGUAAGCCUGCGAAGGUGUGCUGUGAGGCAUGCUGGAGGUAUCAGAAGUGCGAAUGCUGACAUAAGUAACGAUAAAGCGGGUGAAAAGCCCGCUCGCCGGAAGACCAAGGGUUCCUGUCCAACGUUAAUCGGGGCAGGGUGAGUCGACCCCUAAGGCGAGGCCGAAAGGCGUAGUCGAUGGGAAACAGGUUAAUAUUCCUGUACUUGGUGUUACUGCGAAGGGGGGACGGAGAAGGCUAUGUUGGCCGGGCGACGGUUGUCCCGGUUUAAGCGUGUAGGCUGGUUUUCCAGGCAAAUCCGGAAAAUCAAGGCUGAGGCGUGAUGACGAGGCACUACGGUGCUGAAGCAACAAAUGCCCUGCUUCCAGGAAAAGCCUCUAAGCAUCAGGUAACAUCAAAUCGUACCCCAAACCGACACAGGUGGUCAGGUAGAGAAUACCAAGGCGCUUGAGAGAACUCGGGUGAAGGAACUAGGCAAAAUGGUGCCGUAACUUCGGGAGAAGGCACGCUGAUAUGUAGGUGAAGUCCCUCGCGGAUGGAGCUGAAAUCAGUCGAAGAUACCAGCUGGCUGCAACUGUUUAUUAAAAACACAGCACUGUGCAAACACGAAAGUGGACGUAUACGGUGUGACGCCUGCCCGGUGCCGGAAGGUUAAUUGAUGGGGUUAGCGCAAGCGAAGCUCUUGAUCGAAGCCCCGGUAAACGGCGGCCGUAACUAUAACGGUCCUAAGGUAGCGAAAUUCCUUGUCGGGUAAGUUCCGACCUGCACGAAUGGCGUAAUGAUGGCCAGGCUGUCUCCACCCGAGACUCAGUGAAAUUGAACUCGCUGUGAAGAUGCAGUGUACCCGCGGCAAGACGGAAAGACCCCGUGAACCUUUACUAUAGCUUGACACUGAACAUUGAGCCUUGAUGUGUAGGAUAGGUGGGAGGCUUUGAAGUGUGGACGCCAGUCUGCAUGGAGCCGACCUUGAAAUACCACCCUUUAAUGUUUGAUGUUCUAACGUGGACCCGUAAUCCGGGUUGCGGACAGUGUCUGGUGGGUAGUUUGACUGGGGCGGUCUCCUCCUAAAGAGUAACGGAGGAGCACGAAGGUUGGCUAAUCCUGGUCGGACAUCAGGAGGUUAGUGCAAUGGCAUAAGCCAGCUUGACUGCGAGCGUGACGGCGCGAGCAGGUGCGAAAGCAGGUCAUAGUGAUCCGGUGGUUCUGAAUGGAAGGGCCAUCGCUCAACGGAUAAAAGGUACUCCGGGGAUAACAGGCUGAUACCGCCCAAGAGUUCAUAUCGACGGCGGUGUUUGGCACCUCGAUGUCGGCUCAUCACAUCCUGGGGCUGAAGUAGGUCCCAAGGGUAUGGCUGUUCGCCAUUUAAAGUGGUACGCGAGCUGGGUUUAGAACGUCGUGAGACAGUUCGGUCCCUAUCUGCCGUGGGCGCUGGAGAANNNNNNNNNNNNNNNNNNNNNNNNNNNNNNNNNNNNNNNNNUGAGGGGGGCUGCUCCUAGUACGAGAGGACCGGAGUGGACGCAUCACUGGUGUUCGGGUUGUCAUGCCAAUGGCACUGCCCGGUAGCUAAAUGCGGAAGAGAUAAGUGCUGAAAGCAUCUAAGCACGAAACUUGCCCCGAGAUGAGUUCUCCCUGACUCCUUGAGAGUCCUGAAGGAACGUUGAAGACGACGACGUUGAUAGGCCGGGUGUGUAAGCGCAGCGAUGCGUUGAGCUAACCGGUACUAAUGAACCGUGAGGCUUAACCUU
rnacentral:rRNA from 1 species